ACGCGUGGGAAUAUGCCCUUUGGUACGGAAUAGCCUCGGGAAACUGAGAGUAAUACCGUAUGUGCCCUUCGGGGGAAAGAUUUAUCGCCAAAGGAUUAGCCCGCGUUGGAUUAGGUAGUUGGUGGGGUAAUGGCCUACCAAGCCUACGAUCCAUAGCUGGUUUGAGAGGAUGAUCAGCCACACUGGGACUGAGACACGGCCCAGACUCCUACGGGAGGCAGCAGUGGGGAAUCUUAGACAAUGGGGGCAACCCUGAUCUAGCCAUGCCGCGUGAGUGAUGAAGGCCUUAGGGUUGUAAAGCUCUUUCAGCUGGGAAGAUAAUGACGGUACCAGCAGAAGAAGCCCCGGCUAACUCCGUGCCAGCAGCCGCGGUAAUACGGAGGGGGCUAGCGUUGUUCGGAAUUACUGGGCGUAAAGCGCACGUAGGCGGACUGGAAAGUUGGAGGUGAAAUCCCAGGGCUCAACCUUGGAACUGCCUUCAAAACUAUCAGUCUGGAGUUCGAGAGAGGUGAGUGGAAUUCCGAGUGUAGAGGUGAAAUUCGUAGAUAUUCGGAGGAACACCAGUGGCGAAGGCGGCUCACUGGCUCGAUACUGACGCUGAGGUGCGAAAGUGUGGGGAGCAAACAGGAUUAGAUACCCUGGUAGUCCACACCGUAAACGAUGAAUGCCAGUCGUCGGGCAGCAUGCUGUUCGGUGACAC
rnacentral:rRNA from 1 species